rnacentral:rRNA from 1 species
UACGUAGGGUGCGAGCGUUGUCCGGAAUUAUUGGGCGUAAAGGGCUCGUAGGCGGUCUGUCGCGUCGGGAGUGAAAACUCAGGGCUUAACCCUGAGCCUGCUUCCGAUACGGGCAGACUAGAGGUAUGCAGGGGAGAACGGAAUUCCUGGUGUAGCGGUGAAAUGCGCAGAUAUCAGGAGGAACACCGGUGGCGAAGGCGGUUCUCUGGGCCUGACCUGACGCUGAGGAGCGAAAGCGUGGGGAGCGAACAGG